UAGGGUGUGUGUUAGUGUGUGUAUGCUGUGUGUAUGUGUGUAUGUGUGUUAGGGUGUGUAUGCUGUGUGUGUGUGUUAGUGUGUGUAUGCUGUGUGUGCGUUAGUGUGUGUUAGGGUGUGUAUGCUGUGUGUGUGUUAGGGUAUGUAUGCUGUGUAUGCUGUGUGUGUGUGUUAGGGUGUGUGUGAUAGUGUGUGUAUGCUGUGAAAGUGGGGACUGUUCCUAACCAUCACAGCACGACUGCAUCAAUAGACUAUUAGGACACUAGGACC